rnacentral:rRNA from 1 species
CCUACGGGUGGCAGCAGUGGGUAAUAUUGCACAAUGGGGGAAACCCUGAUGCAGCGACGCCGCGUGAGUGAAGAAGUAAUUCGUUACGUAAAGCUCUAUCAGCAGGGAAGAAAUACUGACCUUACGGUCAGCAGACGGUACCUGAGUAAGAAGCCCCGGCUAACUACGUGCCAGCAGCCGCGGUAAUACGUAGGGGGCCAGCGUUAUCCGGAUUUACUGGGUUUUAAGGGGGCGUAGACGGUGCGACAAGUCUGGAGUGAAAUGCCGCAGCUUAACUGCGGAACUGCUUUGGACACUGGCGAACUAGAGUGCGGGAGGGGUGAGCGGAAUGCCUGGGUUAGCGGGGAAAUGCGUAGAUAUUAGGAGGAAAACCGGUGGCGAAGGCGGCUUACUGGACCGUAACUGACGUUGAGGCUCGAAAGCGUGGGGAGCAAACAGGAUUAGAUACCCUGGUAGUC